CGAGUCGGCUGGGCGGUCGCGUGGUGCGGGGGAGACCCUGCACCCCGAGGAACGUCCGGGCUCCACAGGGCAGGGUGGUCGUCAACAGCGACCCGGGGUGACCCGCGGGACAGUGCCACAGAGAACAGACCGCCAGCGGUUCGCCGCUGGUAAGGGUGAAACGGCGGUGUAAGAGACCACCGCACACCGGGUGACCGGUGUGGCUCGGUAAACCCCACCCGGAGCAAGGUCAGGAAGGUGCAGCGGUCCGCCGCUGCACUGCGGAGGCGUUCGAGGGCUGCCCGCCCGAGUCUCCGGGUAGACCGCUCGAGCCUGCGGGCAACCGCAGGCCUAGAUGGAUGACCGCCCACCGGGACCGCCGCGAGGCGCCCGGGGACAGAACCCGGCGUACAGGCCGACUCGUCCG
rnacentral:RNase_P_RNA from 1 species